GACUCCCCAGGAAGGGAUGAUGUUCUCCUUGAAACCCAAGAAAAGGAUUCUGAGCCUCAGGCUUUGCGGAGCUCUCUGGCCCCUGACCUUCCUUAGCUGAG
rnacentral:snoRNA from 1 species